rnacentral:rRNA from 1 species
AACUGCUUUUUAGGGGAAUAAAGAGGGGCACGCGUGCCCUGUUGCAUGUAGCCUUGGAAUAAGGACCGGCUAACUCCGUGCCAGCAGCCGCGGUAAUACGGAAGGUCCAGGUGUUAUCCGGAUUUAUUGGGUUUAAAGGGAGCGUAGGCCGCAGGUUAAGUGUGUUGUGAAAAGCAGUCGCCCAACGUCUGCCUUGCAGCGCAAACUGUCCUGCUUGAGUGCGCACAACGCAGGCGGAAUUCGUCGUGUAGCGGUGAAAUGCUUAGAUAUGACGAAGAACUCCGAUUGCGAAGGCAGCUUGCGGGAGCGCAACUGACGCUGAAGCUCGAAAGUGCGGGUAUCGAACAGGAUUAGAUACCCUGGUAGUCC